UACGUAGGGGGGCAAGCGUUGUCCGGAUUUAUUGGGCGUAAAGAGCGUGUAGGCGGUUUGGUAGGUCCGUUGUGAAAACUCGAGGCUCAACCUCGAGACGCCGAUGGAAACCAUCAGACUAGAGUCCGGAAGAGGAGAGUGGAAUUCCUGGUGUAGCGGUGGAAUGCGCAGAUAUCAGGAGGAACACCGGUGGCGAAGGCGGGUCUCUGGGCAGUAACUGACGCUGAGGAGCGAAAGCGUGGGGAGCGAACAGG
rnacentral:rRNA from 1 species